CACUAGAACAAACAAGAGAAAAUUUAAACUUUUACUAAUAUUCUAACAAGGGAUAAUUUAGGAUUUUAACAAAAAAAAAUUAAAUGCAAAAAAGUUUGUCCAUAUAAUAAAUUAUUGGCUUAACUAUACAUUUGGUCCCUUACGUUUAUUUUAGGUUUCAAUUUGGUCCCUUACGUUUAAAAAGUAUCAAUUUGGUCCCUUACGU
rnacentral:lncRNA from 1 species